CAAGAACAAAAACAAAAAAUGUCAUGGCAUGAAAUAUUCACCCCAUUCUGCCAAUGAAAGCCAGACACCAAAUUUGUUUGAAACUACUAUGUUUUGUUGAGAGAGACACCAAAUGUAUUUCCCUCUACGAAUAUGGCAGCUGUCCGGUUUAGAGUUCGACGCCUGUAGAGGGGAUGCAGUUACAGCAGCACCGAGACAAAUGUCAACAUCGGUGUGGCUUUCCCAAUGAACAGUUUGACGGUUGACUCCGAGCUGGCAGUGUUUCUACCCCACAGCAGUGUCCGGAAAGUCAGGAGUUUGGUGCUGACGUGAAAAUCUUCAGUGCUGGACCAACGGCCAAGUCCUUUAUUCACUGGUGUAUCCACUGGACGUGCCCCUACAGUCUGUUAGGGGACGAUUCAGACCUUCUAUCACCAGUAUCAUCUACCAUUGGCACUGCAAAGAGGCGCAACAAAAAUAUGCACAGAAUGUUGCCA